UUUACCUUUAAUACCAGCUUAAAGAACUCUUGAAAACUACAGACAUCAUCUCGACUGAUCUCUCAUUUCCCCAAAAGGGGGUGAUCACUCAGAUUUG
rnacentral:lncRNA from 1 species